UUCAGAAAAAAGAAAAUUUUGAUAAAGAUGGUAUUGAUGAUAGUAUUGAGGUAAUAUAAAGACUAUCAGGAAAUAAUCGAUCGGUUGGCAUUGGUCCAGUAUAAUUAAAUAAAGAAAAGUGUAUUCUCUCUAACAGUUUUAGUUUUUAGAUGAGACGGUCACACACUUUUAUAUGGUAUCAAAGUAAGCUGUGAUCCUGGAUUAAAUUUAUUUUUUGGCAGUUAUAAUGAAUGGUUUUUAUACAUCUAUAACAACAUUGAUAUUUAAAUUUGUUACGGCAUGCGAAUGUCACUAAUUCUUAUUCAUGACAAUUGUAUCCUUUGACUACUUUAAUUUUUUCUUUUACUUUUUUCCUCUAAAAACAAGUCUCACAUUCUCCAAUAUAUAUAUAUAUAUAUAUAUUACUAUUAUAUAUAAGAGGGAAUGUGAGGACUUUUGUAGUCCUCACAAUAAUUUCCCAAAUUUUUAAAAACUUUUAUGUCCUAAUUUUAUUUAUUUAAGUCAAUUUUUUUGUUUUUUAUUUUUAAAGUUUACUUUUCAAAAGCUAUCGAGCGUGGGGACUUUUGUAGUCCUUACAAUAAUUUUUAAUUUUUUUUAAAACUUUUUAAUUAAUUACUUUUAGGUCCUAAUCUUAUUUAUUUAUGUCAAUUUUUUUGUUUUUGUUUUUAAAGUCUACUUUUCAAAAGCUAUCGAACCUCCUACCUCAUUUUUCACGUUAUUUGAUUUUCUAAUUGGUGCUCGAUAUCCGCAUUUGAGCCCAAUUAAUCCAGAUAAUUCGCACUGCAUCGCGCCUAUUCGGGGGGAGCGCUUCCUCCAAAGAUUUUUUUCCAUAUCCAUGUUCGAACCCCUAAUCCCUAAUUAAGAGAGGAGUAGCUCCAUCUGCUGCACAAGUUAAAUUAUGUAUUUGUCUUAAAAGUUCAUUAACUAUGUAUAGAUUAUUUAUUUAGAACUAAAUAACUUCAGAAAAUUAGAAUACAUAAGUUAUAAUGUCAAAUUCUCGUUCCAAAUUUGAUUUGAAUUAAAUAAUUUCAUCAAAAUGGAAGUUAAAAUAUUAAAGGAGUGGAAUGGAAAUUUUGCUUUUAUAUAACUACCUACUUGUGGGACUACAAUGGGUAUAUGGUUGUUGUUGUUGUUGUUGUACACUUGUACUAACACAAAUUAUAUUUCUUUAGUUAAAAUAUCUGUUUUUAUAUCUUGAGUAAGCCCGGACCUCACAUAGCUAGUAUAUAUAUAUAUAUAUAUAUAUAUAUAUAUAUAUAAAUUCUUCUAUUACUUUUUUCCCUCUAAAAGCAAACUCCACUUUAUAUGAAAUUAUGUACUCACAGGAAUUGUAAUCCAGACGAGAAAAUUAAAGCAGGUGAUUUGAUUUGCUGUUUUGGAAAGAUGGUAUUGUGCUUUUGGGUUUUGUCUUUAUCUGGGUGAUUUCUUUUCUUUUUUCCAAUUUCGUUGAUUUGCUGUUUUGGAAAGAUGGUAUUGUGCUUUUGGGUUUUGUCUUUAUCUGGGUGUUUUUCUUUUUCUUUUCUGUUUUUCAAUUUCGUGCUUCAGUUACAGGGAUUUCAAUUUAGUUUUAUACUUAUUCGUGAGUUAAUCCAAAGCUAUAUUGAGAUCAAUUAAGCAAUCUCAAGCAUUAUUAUUGAAAGCUAGGGAAUUUGAUUAACAGAUUUGGGUUGCAUUGUGACUUUUUGGCUUUUAUCACAAUCAGGAUGUUCAUGUAAAUUCUAAUUUCUUGCUUCAACUAUAGAUUAUUAUGUAAAUUAAGGACUACCAAUGAAGUAAGUGUAAGGCUGUCUUUGAAUUUCAGAUAUUUUCUGUCGUGAUUUCCACUUUGAAUUUCUGCAAAAGCUUCUGGCAUGGUUCAUGUUUAACUGGCUCUUUAUCCUAACAGUAAGUCUUUUUCAUUAUAAGUUCUAAUUCCGAUUAAAUAUCCUAACAGGUUGCAGUUUUCAGCUUUGAAACUGAUACAACUUCUCACAUGUUCCCCACUCUUUGUUGUUUAUUUUUUUUUAUUUUUUUAAACUUUGAUUCUUCUGAACUUUUCACUUUUCAUAUGUUUUUUCCAAACGUUGAAAUCACAUUCUGUAUCUAACCAAAUUAAUAUGCUAACCGGCUUUAUCAUAACCAUAUAUUGAUACAAGAUUCUAUCCAAAGUUACCAUUUCAUUUUUAUAUAGUUCUUCAGAAAGGGUGAGAAGUCACAAAAAUAUAACUGCAGCAGAUUAACAGUUUCUUCCCUAUUUGUGAUAGUGGUAGUUUUAGGGCAGACACAUUUGAGGCAGAUACAACAACAAAUGGUGAGUUAUCGCAAUUGCAUAAUGACGCAAACAGAGGAGAAGUUACCAUUGUUUCUUGAAAUACUCUCAAAUCCUUGAAGGUUCUGCUUUUGAUCCAUUUCAAUUUGUUCCUGAAAUAGACCUGCAGGAUGCAGUUUAGAGUGAAAAGUACGGAUUGAUAGCUAAAUUACGAGAAUACAUUUUCAAACUGGAGGUAGAGUCUCUGACCGCAUGAAUAAGCGCUCAGGCGUGUGACAAAACUUAAUAUGCAUUUUUGUAGGCUCAAAGUUUGGCACAAGAAUUUUGGAAUGUUGUAUCUUAAAUUGAAGAAAUAAGGCCUCUCUCUUUGAGGAAUGCGAUGCAAUCAUCAAACAUCUCUUCAGUGGACUUGAAUUUCAUUCCUAAGCCCUCCAGCUUCGAAGUGUUGAAUUCAUAGGGAGUUCGAUCUAGUUCCUUAAACCUGAAAUAGCAGUGUUGUCAAAUGUGAAUCUUCAUCAAAACGAAUUCGACAGAGCUCCAAGAUGAUUCAUCCAAGGGUAUGUUAGGGUCAAUGUCAGCUCUUACCCUUGCUGUCGAAGAAGAUGAAGUCAAUACCACACGUCUCAGUCUUGGAUUUUUCUUACAGGAUCUUAGCACAUUUAAGUCAAAUAUUGUCAUAUAAAAUGAAAUGGAUAGAAGAUUUUGGAUACCGUGGCAUCAAAAGUAGGCUUUCCCAAGACAGGUGAGGCAGUAUGAAAAACACCUUCACAACCCAUAAUCGCAUCAUCAAAGCUGCCUUCAUCAGUUAGGGGCAGAGCUACAUGUUAUGAAGGGAAAAGGACAAGGGAUGUUAUGCAACUGAUGGGUUUGAACCAUCUACCUCAAAGUAGAAGGCAACGAGCUCACCAAAUUAGCCAUCUCAACGCCAUGAAGGGAAUUCAAUUGAAUCCCCUUAGUCAGGAAAUUAUAUUGUUAUGGAAUUCUUGCGUUCUUUUUUUAGUCCCUUUGUUAGAAUUUCUGUUUUUGCCAAUGUAUGUGACAGACAAGUAAUGAGAGUAUGAGUUGUUCGAUGUACCUGGAUCUCUAAUUGUGCCAAUGACAUGAUAACCAUACAAGAGAAGGCGUUUGAUCAAUCAUGAAGCUACAAAACUAGAUGCACUUGUCACA